rnacentral:rRNA from 1 species
AUACGGAGGGUGCAAGCGUUAUCCGGAAUUAUUGGGUUUAAAGGGUCCGUAGGCGGCUAGAUAAGUCAGUGGUGAAAUUCUCUCGCUCAACGAGAGACCUGCCAUUGAUACUGUCUUGGCUAGAGUUACAGUGAGGUGAGUGGAAUGUGUAGUGUAGCGGUGAAAUGCAUAGAUAUUACACAGAACACCGAUUGCGAAGGCAGCUCACUAACUGUAUACUGACGCUGAUGGACGAAAGCGUGGGGAGCGAACAGGAUUAGAAACCCUAGUAGUCC